AUAAGCCUUAGGGAGGAACCAGCCAAAGCCGGAGACUAAUGGGCUUAGUCGGAGUGUUGAAGGUGUCACUGAGCUGGUCUUGCUUCACCACUGCUAUGAGAUAAUAGAAACCCACCCAAAUCCUUGUCAGAGGAACAAGAAACCUUGAACCACGUCCAGACCACAAGCCCAAUUAAGAACCAGCUUCCCUGCACACCUGCUCCCAGUUGCGGCUGCUCACUGAGGCGAGGCCUACAGGGCGCUCUGCCUGCUGACGGGGGAGGCGGGGGACAUGAGGGAUGUGCUUCCUCUCGGGGACCACAGGAAGGGGACAUCAGUGCUCAGAGGGGCACGAGAAUUCAUAGAAAAGCUGAGGGAGCUGAGACUGGCUUUAGGAAUCAAGGAUGCGGUCAGCAAAGGCACAGAUGACGAGAACCUAAUGCACAAGAGUUGGUUCCUGGAACCUGCUCGGUUCCUCAGCACACUGGUAAGCUCCCCACUGAACCAAAAGAGGAGUAGAAGUGGGACGAGCCUCAAAUAGCCUUGACUAUGAUCAUGCCACCUUACAGUGUUUCCUAAGCAGCAGCAAACACCAGACCUAACUGGGGAGCACCCUCAAAAUACCCAUGCCCAGCUUCCUGGGAGCCUAUGAUGUGCUAGGUCAAGGCUGGGGGCAGGCUUGUACACUUGGGAAAAGUUCCCCUGGUGGUUCUGAUGUGAAACCCUGGCUAAGAACCGCCCACCUAGGACAUUUCGAUUCAAAAGUCUUCAAGGCUUACCCUCAUGGGAUGUCCGCAUAGGAACGUGGUAUUACAGAGAAUUUCAAACCACACCGAGCUCAGUGAUUUCCCUCUUGCGUAGAGGGGUCAGCGGGCAAAUCGUGUUUUUUGUUACCCAGGAGACUCUUUUUGAGUCAGAAACAAGCACAGCACCUGAUGGUGUGCUUUCAUUUAAAGCUACGAGAGGCAGGUUCUUAGGGCUGGAGGGAAGGCUGCUCAAACCUGAGGUCAGUCAGAUGGAUAACACGUUGAGCAGGGAGCUCUCUCGGCUGCUUUCCGGCAGCGGCUGCACCUGCGCUGUGUGUAGCUUUGCCCAGGGAAAUGGGAACGCACCACGCAUGUGCAGAGUUUGGGCUGCUGGGGUAGGGCUCCUUUGCGGUCCGGAACGGAGGAAAGCCAGCGUCCCCGCACAUGGCCUGCUGGCCAGGACUCCUCUCCAGGACACUUUACAACUCAUGACUCAGCUCUGAAGAGGAUGUGGUUGGUGAAGUUUCCUGCCUCUAGUGGUCACAAGUUCACAUGGUGUCUCCUUUUGAGGGCCUGCUGACUGCAGAACAGGGACAGCUG
rnacentral:lncRNA from 1 species